rnacentral:rRNA from 1 species
GACGUACGCUGGCGGCGUGCUUAACACAUGCAAGUCGAACGGGAAACUUUAUUUCGGUAAAGGAUCUAGUGGCAAACGGGUGAGUAACGCGUAGGCAACCUGCCCUUAGGAUGGGGACAACGGCCCGAAAGGACCGCUAAUACCGAAUGGACUCUAACUUCCGCAUGGAAGAAAGAGGAAAGAUGGUGCAAGCCAUCGCCGAAGGAAGGGCCUGCGUCUGAUCAGCCAGUUGGUGAGGUAACGGCUCACCAAAGCGACGAUCAGUAGCCGGUCUGAGAGGAUGAACGGCCACAAUGGGACUGAGACACGGCCCAUACUCCUACGGGAGGCAGCAGUGGGGAAUCUUCCGCAAUGGGCGAAAGCCUGACGGAGCAACGCCGCGUGAGUGAAGAAGGUCUUCGGAUCGUAAAGCUCUGUUGUUGGGGACGAAAGGGAAGGGGAGGAAAUGCCCUUUUUAAGACGGUACCCGACGAGCAAGCCACGGCUAA